GAUGCCUUUCAGCUCGCGUGCAAACCACAAGCUUCUCCUGACAGGUGGAAUUUCCUCAGGACUGUCCGUCUGAGGUGCGUCCAUGUCUGUCUGCACCUGGAUGGCAUUGCCUCCAAGCAGAGGCACUCCCGCCUCACCUCUCCAUCUCGAGGACGCCAUCUGGAGGGGGCAGGGCAGGGUGGCAGAGCCCCUGCAGGCCCCAGCCCUGUGACUCAGCCACCAAAGCCCAAUCUCUAGCCCAAGGGAACCAAGAGUAUCUUCCUCAUCACCCUCCCAGUCCUCUUCCCCUUCACUGGGCUCCAGCCUCAGCCUGGCCCUCACCUCCACUCCUCUCCCCUCUCACCCCUGCCCCCAUUCCACUUCAUCUCCCUCCCUCACCUUAGGGCACCUCUGCCUGCUCCUUAUGCUGGAGUUUAUUUUCUACCAUCUCAACUCAGCCAAGAGAUCUCAUCACCUAAAAAAGUGACGUGAACCUUAAGAUCACAUAUGUCAUAUGGGGGUGAAGGUGGGGGUGAGGGGCACUAAGAGCAGGGCAGCAGGUGGGUCAGCCCCAGGUGCUGGCAAUAGGCGGGAGUCCAGGUCUGCAGAGAACCUAAAAAAUUCAACUGAUUAGCCUG
rnacentral:lncRNA from 1 species